rnacentral:rRNA from 1 species
GGUUAAGCGACUAAGCGUACACGGUGGAUGCCCUGGCAGUCAGAGGCGAUGAAGGACGUGCUAAUCUGCGAAAAGCGUCGGUAAGGUGAUAUGAACCGUUACAGCCGGCGAUGUCCGAAUGGGGAAACCCAGUGCAAUUCGUUGCACUAUCGUUAACUGAAUACAUAGGUUAACGAGGCGAACCGGGGGAACUGAAACAUCUAAGUACCCCGAGGAAAAGAAAUCAACCGAGAUUCCCCCAGUAGCGGCGAGCGAACGGGGA